AAGCCCCUCCUGGAGUUACGUCCUCCCACUGUCCAGCCCCUCACUUUCUGAAGGUGGGUUACAGUUUACAACAUGGACUCACACAGAGCACUUUAUUUUCACGGUGGCCCUCUGACUCAGGCCACACCGAUGUCCGUCCUUCCUUCCUUCCUUCCUUCCUUCCUUCCUUCCUUCCUUCCUUCCUUCCUUAUUUCUUUCCUUCUUUCUUUCCUUUCUUUUCUUUCUUUUUCUUCUUUCUUUCUUUCUUUCUUUUCUUUCUUUCUUUCUUUCUUUCGCUCUCAUUUAUUCAUUCUUUCUCUUUUUGUCUUCUUUCUUCCUUCUUUCUCUUUCUUCCUUCCUUCUUUCUCUUCCUUCCUUCUUUCCCUCCUUCCUUCCUUCCUUCCUUAUUUCUUUCCUUCUUUCUUUCAUUACUCCCUUUCUUUCUUUCUCUCUUUCUUUUCUUUCUUUCUUUCUUUCUUUCUUUCUUUCUUUCUUUCUUUCUCUUUCUUUCUUUCUUUCUCUUUCUUUCUUUCUCUAUCUCUCAUUCUUUCUUUUCCUUCCUUCCUUCCUUCCUUCCUUCCUUCCUUCCUUCCUUCCUUUUCCUUCCUUCCUUCCCUCCCUUCCUCCCUUCCUCCCUCUCUUUCUUUCUUUCUUUCUCUUUCUUUUCUUUCUUUCUUUCUUUCUUUCUUUCUUUCUUUCUUCCUUCUUUCUCUUUCUUCCUUCUUUCCCUCCUUCCUUCCUUCCUUAUUUCUUUCCUUCUUUCUUUCAUUACUCCCUUUCUUUCUUUCUCUCUUUCUUUUCUUUUUCUUUCUUUCUCUCUCUAUCUCUCAUUCUUUCUUUUCCUUCCUUCCUUCCUUCCUUCCUUCCUUCCUUCCUUCCUUCCUUCUCCUUCCUUCCUUCCUUCCCUCCCUCCCUCCCUCUCUCUCUCUUUCUUCUUUCUUUCUCUUUCUUUCUUUCUUUCUUUCUUUCUUUCUUUCUUUCUUUCUUUUUCUCUACCUUUCGUUUUUCCUUCCUUCUUUUCUUUCCUUUUCUCUUUCUUCUUUCUUUCUUUCUCCCUUCUUUCUUUUUCUUACUCUUUCUUUCUUUCUUUCUUUCUUUCUUUCUUUCUUUCUUUCUUUCUUUUUUAAUGUUUUAUUUAUUUUUGAGAGAGAGAGAGACAGAGCACAAG
rnacentral:lncRNA from 1 species